GACGAACGCUGGUGGCGUGCCUAAUACAUGCAAGUUGAGCGCUGAAGGUUGGUACUUGUACCAACUGGAUGAGCAGCGAACGGGUGAGUAACGCGUGGGGAAUCUGCCUUUGAGCGGGGGACAACAUUUGGAAACGAAUGCUAAUACCGCAUAAAAACUUUAAACACAAGUUUUAAGUUUGAAAGAUGCAAUUGCACCACUCAAAGAUGAUCCCGCGUUGUAUUAGCUAGUUGGUGAGGUAAAGGCUCACCAAGGCGAUGAUACAUAGCCGACCUGAGAGGGUGAUCGGCCACAUUGGGACUGAGACACGGCCCAAACUCCUACGGGAGGCAGCAGUAGGGAAUCUUCGGCAAUGGACGAAAGUCUGACCGAGCAACGCCGCGUGAGUGAAGAAGGUUUUCGGAUCGUAAAACUCUGUUGGUAGAGAAGAACGUUGGUGAGAGUGGAAAGCUCAUCAAGUGACGGUAACUACCCAGAAAGGGACGGCUAACUACGUG
rnacentral:rRNA from 1 species